rnacentral:rRNA from 1 species
GACGAACGCUGGCGGCGUGCUUAACACAUGCAAGUCGAACGGAAAGACCCUGCUUUUGUGGGGUGCUCGAGUGGCGAACGGGUGAGUAACACGUGAGUAACCUGCCCUUGACUUUGGGAUAACUUCAGGAAACUGGGGCUAAUACCGGCUAGGAGCUCCUGCUGCAUGGUGGGGGUUGGAAAGUUUCGGCGGUUGGGGAUGGACUCGCGGCUUAUCAGCUUGUUGGUGGGGUAGUGGCCUACCAAGGCUUUGACGGGUAGCCGGCCUGAGAGGGUGACCGGCCACAUUGGGACUGGGAUACGGCCCAGACUCCUACGAGAGGCAGCAGUGGGGAAUAUUGCACAAUGGGCGGAAGCCUGAUGCAGCAACGCCGCGUGCGGGAUGACGGCCUUCGGGUUGUAAACCGCUUUCGCCUGUGACGAAGCGUGAGUGACGGUAAUGUGUAAAGAAGCACCGGCUAACUACGUG